UCUGUGUAUAUAUGUAUUAC
rnacentral:piRNA from 1 species